UAAACUCUUAUCCCAAGUAAGGUUGCUAUGGGCACCACAUAACAUCUGGCGCCGGCUGAUUAAGUUAAAGACAUCCACUAUCUCUCCAAAUUAAAAACCUCAAACUGAGUUCACUGACUUUUGCAUUGUACUCAUUGCAAAUAUGCUCUUUUGCUUUGCCCCACUGUCCAGUUUUAUCCGCUAGAAAGAAAAAUUUUAGAGGGCCAUAGACUAAAUCAUUUGCCUCUGAACACAUCAUUUCCAAAUGGCCGCCCCGGGUCCUAAAUCCGGCCGCUGCGGACAGGGACUAGCGGGUGCCCUCUCUCUGCAGAGCCAUGGGACUCGAGCGCCUUCAUAACUGGACGUCGCAAGCCAGAAAGGAAACGCGAUCACAUAGGGACACCGCGGCUGCACCUAGCUGGGCAAGAACAAGGUUGGCUGGGAUGUGAGAAACAGAGUUGCUACCACUCUGGAGCUGCAGGAGGAGAGAGCAACGCGACCCCCAGCGCAGUCCCGACGCGAGGCUGGGAAGAGCGGGGCUCUGCUGCCGCGAUGCGGCGUCAGGACCCGGGCACUGCUGCCCGCACUCCGCGUUGCCCUUUCAGCGGAGGGCAGCUCCCUGCCGCGGCAGCACAGUCGCUGGGCGCUUGGCCACCCCACAGGAGCGCCCUGACCGCCCCUGGGCGGCCUCCUGGGCACCAGUCACUGGACCAACCCUAGUCCUCCUACGCAGGGACAAACUUCCUUUCUCUUGGGCCGCCUGACCGUGCAGAUUGGCAGGCGACUCCCUUGCCAGUCUUUCUGCUCCCGGGCCAAGCGAGCUUCCUCUCUGCCCCUCUCCAACCCCAAGCCCCGGGCGCCUAGCGGUCCCCGCUCAUCCUCUCCAACAAAGCCCGCGGCCGGGAGGCGACCCAGUGAGGGGCUGGGAGUGGCGGCAGGGUCUCCAGAACCGGACCAGCACCCCUCGCCUGGGCGAGUACAGCACGAAGGGGCAGCAGGGACAAGGCGGGGAGAAAAAGGGGAAGAAAGUAUCCCGCUCUAGGCGCGAAUGCCUUCUUGGGUGUCCUCGCUCUUCCUGCUCGCCCUGCCCGAGCGCGUCCUGCUGUCCCGGUGGGAGUUGUCAGGGGCAGAGGCAGCAGCAGAGGGGGCGCAGUGGCCUGGCGGGCGAGCCGCUCCCUUACCUCUGUCCAGAGUAAGCGGCUGGACCACUGUCAAUGUCGCCAUGUCUGCCGUGGGAGCCGAAGUGACGCUCAGCUUCAGCAUCAGCAACCGCUUGUAAGUUUGGGGAUACAGGAAGAAGAUGUAAAUUAAAUGGGAGACACAUUUAAGAAGCUACUCAGCAUUCCAGAUCACUGGAAAUUAUUCAUCUGGAGCUUUGGUGAACUGAGAUCAUUGAAGGGAGUUUCCUGUCAUUCCUGGAAUGACAAUGAAACUGAGUAA